AAACCCCUUGAAUGUGUCUUUUGUUUGGAACAUGAAUCGUGCUCCCACCUUUUCUUUGAUUGCAUUGUUACCAAGCACCUUUGGGCCCCUGUUGCUGAUUACUUCAACACUUAGAUUGGCUCUUCUUUUGAAUUUGUAGCUAGAUUCUGGGUUGCUAACAAAAAAUGCUCUGUUCUGAACACUGUUAGCUCAGCUGUUCUGUGUUGUCUCUGGAAAUAUAGAAAUGCUAUGAUUUUUUAUAACACCACUUGGAUUUAUGUUCCUCGGGUCUUGAGAUUGAUCUUGAACACAGUGAGGAACUGGGCGAUCCUCUCCUCGGGGUCAGACAAGGAAAAGUUGAUGACCUUUGUGGGGUUCCUCGCAAAGUCCCUUCAGAAACCUUUGGAGAUCACAAGUGGCUGA
rnacentral:rRNA from 1 species